GCGGCAGACGGGUGAGUAACGCGUGGGAACGUACCUUUUGCUACGGAAUAACUCAGGGAAACUUGUGCUAAUACCGUAUGUGCCCUUCGGGGGAAAGAUUUAUCGGCAAAGGAUCGGCCCGCGUUGGAUUAGCUAGUUGGUGAGGUAAAGGCUCACCAAGGCGACGAUCCAUAGCUGGUAUGAGAGGAUGAUCAGCCACACUGGGACUGAGACACGGCCCAGACUCCUACGGGAGGCAGCAGUGGGGAAUAUUGGACAAUGGGCGCAAGCCUGAUCCAGCCAUGCCGCGUGAGGGAUGACGGCCUUCGGGUUGUAAAGCACUUUAAGCGAGGAGGAGGCUCUUUUGGUUAAUACCCAAGAUGAGUGGACGUUACUCGCAGAAUAAGCACCGGCUAACUCUGUGCCAGCAGCCGCGGUAAUACAGAGGGUGCGAGCGUUAAUCGGAUUUACUGGGCGUAAAGCGUGCGUAGGCGGCUUUUUAAGUCUGAUGUGAAA
rnacentral:rRNA from 2 species